rnacentral:lncRNA from 1 species
UUACAAACAUGGAGUUGGUUUUAUUUCUUGACAUAAUAAAGGUGACAUUGUUUCAGUUUGGCUGGCAUGGGUCUUUUUGUGCGCUGCACAUGCAACCAGCCCAAUCGAAAGCAGUGCUUCAAAUUGAAUAAAUUCGUUCUGGACAAGUGAAUUGAUAACCCUUUAUCUACAGGUAAAUUUUAGUACACGAAUUAUUUGUUGAUUCCUUUUGCACUAUCCCUCAGUUUGCCUACAGGUACUACUUGGCUAUAGACCAAUUAUAAAUUUAAAUCUUUGACGAACAUCUAUACUGAAUCUGUCCACAUGAUUGAUUUUCCGUUAAUCCGAUGACUUUAUUUUAUCUUCCCUAUUGACAUGGACGUUGCACACAUACAUAGAACACUUGUCAUGGCCAGCUGAUGCAUGAAACAAAAAUGAUAAAAUAGUAAGAGAGUGUAGGUUGAAGAUCCUAACACGUGCACCUGGGUACAUAAACAAUUCAAUUAGGGAUUCAAAUUUACAUUAUGUUGGAGAACAAGAAAGAAAACAUACGUUACAUUUAGAAUACACAUGGCCCGAUAAAAGUAAAAAAAGAAGAAGGAAAAGGUAGCUAGGUAAGACAAAUGAUCAUCCCGAGUACCACAUUACAUGCACGAGCCUUUUUGUUGGAUGAAGAAACUUGGAUUUUUUUUCUACACCUGAAGAAAGUGAAAUAUGCAUAAAGUUAGUGAGAAAAUAAUUUUAAGCAAUGUUGGUGAACGCCUACAUAAUUUCUAAUCAAAUGAAGGUAAUAAAACUGAAACACACUCUCACACACACACAAAGUUAGAGAGCUUGC